rnacentral:rRNA from 1 species
GAGUUUGAUCCUGGCUCAGAUUGAACGCUGGCGGCAUGCCUUACACAUGCAAGUCGAACGGCAGCACGGGAGCAAUCCUGGUGGCGAGUGGCGAACGGGUGAGUAAUAUAUCGGAACGUGCCCAGUCGUGGGGGAUAACGCAGCGAAAGCUGUGCUAAUACCGCAUACGAUCUAUGGAUGAAAGCGGGGGACUCGCAAGGGCCUCGCGCGAUUGGAGCGGCCGAUAUCAGAUUAGCUAGUUGGCGGGGUAAAAGCCCACCAAGGCGACGAUCUGUAGCUGGUCUGAGAGGACGACCAGCCACACUGGAACUGAGACACGGUCCAGACUCCUACGGGAGGCAGCAGUGGGGAAUUUUGGACAAUGGGCGAAAGCCUGAUCCAGCAAUGCCGCGUGCAGGAUGAAGGCCUUCGGGUUGCAAACUGCUUUUGUACGGAACGAAACGGUCUUUCCUAAUACGGGGGGCUAAUGACGGUACCGUAAGAAUAAGCACCGGCUAACUACGUGCCAGCAGCCGCGGUAAUACGUAGGGUGCGAGCGUUAAUCGGAAUUACUGGGCGUAAAGCGUGCGCAGGCGGUUAUAUAAGACAGAUGUGAAAUCCCCGGGCUCAACCUGGGACCUGCAUUUGUGACUGUAUAGCUAGAGUACGGUAGAGGGGGGAUGGAAUUCCGCGUGUAGCAGUGAAAUGCGUAGAUAUGCGGAGGAACACCGAUGGCGAAGGCAAUCCCCUGGACCUGUACUGACGCUCAUGCACGAAAGCGUGGGGAGCAAACAGGAUUAGAUACCCUGGUAGUCCACGCCCCUAAACGAUGUCAACUGGUUGUUGG